rnacentral:rRNA from 1 species
AUACGUAGGGAGCGAGCGUUGUCCGGAAUUGCUGGGCGUAAAGGGCGCGUAGGCGGCGCUUCAAGUCGUCUGUCAAAUGGGAGGGCUUAACCCUUUCUCGCAGACGAAACUGGAGAGCUUGAGAAGCAGAGAGGCAAACAGAAUUCCUGGUGUAGCGGUGAAAUGCGUAGAUAUCAGGAAGAAUACCAGUGGCGAAGGCGGUUUGCUGGCUGCAUACUGACGCUGAAGCGCGAAAGCCAGGGGAGCGAACGGGAUUAGAUACCCCGGUAGUCCUGGCAGUAAACGAUGUAUGCUGGGUGUGAGACUAGCGAUAGUUUCGUGCCGAAGUUAACGCGAUAAGCAUACCGCCUGGGGAGUACGGUCGCAAGAUUGAAACUCAAAGGAAUUGACGGGG